rnacentral:rRNA from 1 species
GCUAAUACCGCAUACGCCCUACGGGGGAAAGGAGGGGAUCUUCGGACCUUUCGCUAUCAGAUGAGCCUGCGUGAGAUUAGCUAGUUGGUGGGGUAAAGGCUCACCAAGGCGACGAUCUCUAGCUGGUCUGAGAGGAUGAUCAGCCACACUGGGACUGAGACACGGCCCAGACUCCUACGGGAGGCAGCAGUGGGGAAUAUUGGACAAUGGGCGCAAGCCUGAUCCAGCCAUGCCGCGUGUGUGAAGAAGG